GUGUGAGGAAGGCCUUCGGGUUGUAAAGCUCUUUCGGCCGGGAAGAAAUCGCAUUCUCUAAUAUAGGAUGUGGAUGACGGUACCGGACUAAGAAGCACCGGCUAACUACGUGCCAGCAGCCGCGGUAAUACGUAGGGUGCAAGCGUUAAUCGGAAUUACUGGGCGUAAAGCGUGCGCAGGCGGUUUUGUAAGACAGAGGUGAAAUCCCCGGGCUCAACCUGGGAACUGCCUUUGUGACUGCAAGGCUAGAGUACGGCAGAGGGGGAUGGAAUUCCGCGUGUAGCAGUGAAAUGCGUAGAUAUGCGGAGGAACACCGAUGGCGAAGGCAAUCCCCUGGGCCUGUACUGACGCUCAUGCACGAAAGCGUGGGGAGCAAACAGGAUUAGAUACCCUGGUAGUCCACGCCCUAAACGAUGUCAACUGGUUGUUGGGUCUUAACUGACUCAGUAACGAAGCUAACGCGUGAAGUUGACCGCCUGGGGAGUACGGCCGCAAGGUU
rnacentral:rRNA from 1 species